UUCCCUUUGGAACCAAAGUCUUUUGACUCCUUGGAAACUGUCCCCAUCUUUUUCCCAUCUAAUCACAUAGCUUAACCUAGGUCACAGAAAUUACUGCUAGGGUUUGUUUUUGUUUUAUCGGUCUCAAUUUGUCUGAUUAAGGUGUCAGGAUAUUUUUUGGUGAAGGUAUGUGAUACUCUACAACUGUGCCAGGCUACCCCGACAAACAUGAGGAUUGCAGACUAAGAAACAAGGCUGUGAAAUACGAUAUUUCUUUGAAGGAUAUCGUAGAGCAGCCAUUGGCCAUCAUUUCCUCGAAUACUUACGAAAGGUGGGUUUGUCGGAGGGUCAGACAUCUUCCUCAAUUUGCACUAGACUGGAGUACUGAAAGACAUACUCAAGGAUCUAACUGUGGAAAGGAAGAAGAAAGAUGAACUCUAACAUAGAUAUAGACGGUAUGAGUUUUUGGAGUGCUGAAAAUCGCCAUUGUCUCAACUGAAAUAGACACAUUGGUCAAAUUGCACUUUAUAACUCCACUUUUUUUUUUUAAGGUACUCUUAACGAUUCACCAUGCCUGGAACAUAUAAAUAGGCCCUUACCUCAGUACGCCCAAAACUGAUAAGUUUUCAGAAGAUGGCGAGAAUGGCAACCUAAGGUUUGGAUUAUCCUCUAUGCAAGGUGGUGUCCUAGCAUGCAUGAUGCUCAUGCUGCCCUGGUCUGGACAGUUCGACAUCCUUCUUUGGGGUAUAUGAUGAUCAUAGAGAUGUUCACAAGUUCCUUACUGCUGGUUGACAAUCUAAAAUUCUGGCACCAUGGAUGUGCUUUGUUUUCAUAAGUUUUUUGUUUGUUUAUUUUGUGCAUCUGUUUCUUAAAAACAGCUUCAAC